AGUUCAUGCCUAGCUUGAAAGAGAGUGUGAGCGUUGCAUUUCAGCUUUGUCGAUCUGUUUGAAGCCGAAUAGGAGAUGCCCAGUUUGCUCCCGUGUUUCUUCGUCUCGAUUUCUCAGCUGGAUGCUCGCUUUGGUUUCAGAUAUGGCUCCUUGACUCUCAACUUUUGCUGGUCCCAGUAGUAGUAGUUCCUGUGUAACUUUUUGCUCCAAAAAUAGAUAGAUACUUCUUUGUAAAUAUUACAGCUGUGGAACCCUAUGACCUCAAUGUUGUUAUUAAUCAUGCUGCUUGUUGUUAUUACUGUAUAUUCUCCUUGUUCUGAUCCGAAGUGUUGGUACCUGAUGCUUAUCAAUAUUAAGAAGCUUUUUUCCUA